rnacentral:rRNA from 1 species
UACGUAGGGGGCAAGCGUUGUCCGGAAUUAUUGGGCGUAAAGAGCGCGUAGGCGGUCCGAUAAGUCGGCUGUGAAAGUCAGGGGCUCAACCCUUGAAAGCCGGCCGAUACUGUCGGACUAGAGUCCGGAAGAGGCGAGUGGAAUUCCCGGUGUAGCGGUGAAAUGCGCAGAUAUCGGGAGGAACACCAAUAGCGAAGGCAGCUCGCUGGGACGUUACUGACACUGAGGCGCGAAAGCGUGGGGAGCGAACAGG